rnacentral:ncRNA from 1 species
AUCUGCGCGCCUGUUUCAGGUGCCCCCUGCCGCCGUGCAUGGGGUGAAACGGGAAGCCGGUUCGUCGCCCCAGGGUGAUCAGUCCGGCGCUGCCCCCGCAACGGUAUGCGAGCGAUGCUUUCGACAGACCACUGUGCCACAGGCAUGGGAAGGUGACGGCAUCAUGACCCUCGCGAGCCCGGAGACCGGCCUGAAGCCUUGUUUGGCAA